ensembl:lncRNA
GACGGGUGACUGCAGCAGUGCAAUGAACAAGACCAGAAGAGGCAAUCCCCCACCCACGGCAGCUUUGUAUCUUCCUGUACACUUACGAAGGUACUCCUGAUAAGACGCUGAGGGUGAUGCACCUCUUAGACCAGUCGGAGCCCCCACCCACCUGUUCCCUUACGCUGACGAAGAGAGAAAACAGACGAGAGGGGUUUUCUCUUUCACUCUCACUUCCUCUCUUCUGGUUGCCGUAGAUUGUUGUAAAGAUUGUGUGUAUGGAGAGAACUUGUGCACUACCACUGACGGGGCAGAAAGACUGAGGUAGCAUGAACAUGGACAUACUGACUAA